UGACUGCGUACCUUUUGUAUAAUGGGUCAGCGACUUAUAUUCUGUAGCAAGGUUAACCGAAUAGGGGAGCCGGAGGGAAACCGAGUCUUAAUUGGGCGUUAAGUUGCAGGGUAUAGACCCGAAACCCGGUGAUCUAGCCAUGGGCAGGUUGAAGGUUGGGUAACACUAACUGGAGGACCGAACCGACUAAUGUUGAAAAAUUAGCGGAUGACCUGUGGCUGGGGGUGAAAGGCCAAUCAAACCGGGAGAUAGCUGGUUCUCCCCGAAAGCUAUUUAGGUAGCGCCUCGUGAAUUCAUCUCCGGGGGUAGAGCACUGUUUCGGCUAGGGGGCCAUCCCGGCUUACCAACCCGAUGCAAACUGCGAAUACCGGAGAAUGUUAUCACGGGAGACACACGGCGGGUGCUAACGUCCGUCGUGAAGAGGGAAACAACCCAGACCGCCAGCUAAGGUCCCAAAGUCAUGGUUAAGUGGGAAACGAUGUGGGAAGGCCCAGACAGCCAGGAUGUUGGCUUAGAAGCAGCCAUCAUUUAAAGAAAGCGUAAUAGCUCACUGGUCGAGUCGGCCUGCGCGGAAGAUGUAACGGGGCUAAACCAUGCACCGAAGCUGCGGCAGCGACACUCAGGUGUUGUUGGGUAGGGGAGCGUUCUGUAAGCCUGCGAAGGUGGCCUGUGAGGGUUGCUGGAGGUAUCAGAAGUGCGAAUGCUGACAUAAGUAACGAUAAAGCGGGUGAAAAGCCCGCUCGCCGGAAGACCAAGGGUUCCUGUCCAACGUUAAUCGGGGCAGGGUGAGUCGACCCCUAAGGCGAGGCCGAAAGGCGUAGUCGAUGGGAAACGGGUUAAUAUUCCCGUACUUGGUGUUACUGCGAAGGGGGGACGGAGAAGGCUAUGUUGGCCGGGCGACGGUUGUCCCGGUUUAAGCGUGUAGGUGUGUGUUCCAGGUAAAUCCGGUU
rnacentral:rRNA from 1 species